rnacentral:sRNA from 1 species
AUCUAGACCAAAGGCGAGGAGAUAAAGCGAAGGUUAGAUCUGCUUUUGUACCAGCACAUAUACGGGAAGAAAGGAAUCUAUUUCAGGCUAGACAAUAUCAAAUUUUCGAUCAAAUGUCAGAUAUACGUGUCUCAAACUAAUUUACUUUUAUUGAUUUAGUUGUUAGACCAAGCAAGCAAACAAAAACUUGAAAGAACUCUGCAAUGGAUUACACUGUCGAUCGAUAUGGUUAGAUCUGUGAUGAAAGUGGACAGAUAAUACGAGCUUUGUCGGGAAAAGGUGACAGAAGUGAUACAAUGUGUCAACGAUGAUGGGGUCAUCAAGUCAGCAUCAACCAAGGAUCAUGGAGGAGGCACCAAUAAGUCGACCAAGAUCCACGAGAGAACCAACCUAAGCAUACCAAAUACAUAUGUGCCUUUCAAGAAGCAUACCAGCCCAACCCGAAGAAUUUAAGCUACAAAUCAACUUAUUCCAAAAACUUAACUCAUCAAGGAAUCACGGAGAAGUGGAAUUGGUUCAAAAAUCUUUUCAGAUGAAGAUGAUAUUAAAGUUACAAAUCAGCAGAUUUCCAAAGAACCCGAUGGAGACCAACAGCUACGUAUUAGAGGAUUUCGACCUGACCAGAAGGAGUUAACCUACAAAGUUAAUUCUCAGAUAUUCUUGACUCAUAAGAUGUAGAAACUAGAGAAGAGUUUGGGGGAAAACUCUUUCUUAUGUCUUGUUGAUCUCAAUAGCAUUGAUACAAUGUAUAUAUAUGCAAUUUAGAAUAUGUUUUUCCUAAUUUGAAUAAGAAAUAGAUAAACAUGAAUAAGUAUAUAUAUAUUUCCUAUUUAGAAUAUUUA